CACUGCCUGAGUGUGAGUUAUACUUUCACAUUCGGUGUUGCUCAGAGGUCCUGAUUCUGGUAAGCCCCAUGGCCUGCCCCCAGCCUGGCCUGUGCCACAGUGGGGUGGGGCCCUGUGGCCAAGCCAGCCUGCCCUGUGGCUUCCCCUCCCAGGCCGGGCCUGGGUGUGCAGUGGCUGCAUGAGAAGGCAGGCCAGCUGCCACCCUCCACCUCUGUGGUGCGAAGCCAGCCACACGAGCCAGCGUAGGUCCCACCGGCCCUGCUGGAGCUGAGGAGGAAACAAGGACACACACUUUACUCCAGAAGCCUCAAGAACCCGGCCACACCUGUCUCCUAGAGCAUUGUAAGAAUUCCUGCUGCAUCAAGAAGAAAACUGGGCCUCAGGUCCCCUCCUGUGAGUGCAGAGCAGGAAGGCCUGGCAGGGCACAGGGAGGAUGGUGAGCAUGCAGCUGUUCCCAGCACAGCGGGACACAAUGCGGACAGCCCUCCCGGGGCAAGGCCUGGCCUCCUCUCUUACUGCUGUGGCAGCUCCCUGAGCUGUGUGAACUGCCCUGAGCAGCUGCCUCACUGUGCCAUUUCUGUUCCCCCUGAAGUGACCCCGUCCAACCAUGCUGACAUUUCGCUUGCUCAGGAGCUGAGCGGGUGAUGGUCCUUAUAUUUUCAGUCCCAUUUUGCAGCUGAAACAACUGAGUCCCAUUCAGGAGCUUGCCUAGGAUCACGUGCUAGGAGGCACAUUGGCUGGAGCUCAAGCCAAGAAGGCCCUGGUGUUAGAGUUGCUCCUACUACCCAGUGCAUCCCCUCAGAGGCCUCCACUCUGCUCAAGAGAGGAGCGAGGGUCCUGUGGCAGCAGGAGUGGCCUGAGCAAAGAUGGAGAGGUCAAGGGCACCUGCGUCAUCGAGCCCAGGCCCCAAAUCCUGGUGCCUCUCCUGACUCUUCUGUUUGGCGCCUUGCUUUGGGCCAUGGGCGGUAGACCAAGCUCAGCCAUGUCUGCUGCUGCCCCUGCUCCAACCUGCUGGGAGCCCCCACCAUCUCCCGUUACUGCAGCUACAGCCUCCAGCCUGGCCCUCCUGCUUCCCUGCCCCCAUCUGUUCUCCACAGAGCAGUCAUGGGCAUCAAGCGAGAACAAUCAACCGGAGCAGACCCCCAAACGCUCCAGAGAACGCUGCUCCCACUGCAUUUAGAGCCAAAGCCACCAAUGCUGCCCCGUCCACCCCUUGCUCCUGUGACUGGCGGGCCCCUUCACUCUGCACCCACCAUGCAGCCAGCCUUUCCCUUUGCGUUCUCCUGUCCUCCUACUUGCUAGCAAAAUGCACAGGCCUCUGUGCUGCUGCCUUUCCUCGGACUGCCAGACCCUUCUCUUGUAGGCCUCAGCCAAGGGAGCUUUUCCCGACAGAGACCCUCUCCUCUCCCCUCCUGGCUCAUUCGCUUCUGGUGCGUGUGCCUGUCACUCACACAGUCCUUAGCUACCGCCUCACCCUUCACCACAUCGGGAGCUCCAGGAUUCUGGUGGAUGUAGUCUGCUGCUGCAUCCUGGGGUCUGGCACAGAGCAGGUGUCCACAUGUGCUUGUCUGCAGCCAUGGCCCCUCAGUUCAGCCUCUGAAAAAGAAAUUCUUGGCCGACUCUGCCUUCCUUUCCUGCCAGCUGGGCCCACUCAAGAGUCACUGUUCCGCAAGGCUGAACUCUGAGUCCUUCCGGAGCCCCACCCGGCCAGAGGUGCUGCAUCCCAAGCUGAACCCACAACAAGGUUGUGCACCCUCAGUGCAGGCCUCAGCGGCGGUUGGGAUGUUCCAGUUUGGGGCUUUGGUAGUCAGACACCAUCCCAAAGCCCAUGGAAAAAUGCCGUGCUACC